rnacentral:lncRNA from 1 species
CUUAAAUGGUGAGGAAGUCUGUCCGGUCGAGAGCGCCGGUGUGGAGAGCGCCGGAGAGCAGGUCGCCGACAAUCGUCGCUUGGAGACGGUGAGAAAAAGGGGGAAAAGUUUUAGAAGAAACCUAAAACUUAAAAUAACCCGGUAGUUGAAUAAACCGUGUUUAGUUGAAAGAAUUCAUUAAUUCAUUGUAAAUCAAUGUUUAGUAUUUAAAACUAGAUUUACAACAAAUUAUUUUAACUAACUACAACUAACUCAGUUUUCUUUAUAUUGCUAUUGGGCCGCCCAAUGUACUUCUGGACUCCAUCUUGCUAUUUUAGCCCAGUUGCUCUUUUAUUAGAAUUUGAAGUAUUUGCAAUUUAAUCCCUGAAGGACUCCAUAUCUAAUAUGCUCUCUCAGAGAUUUCCUGUAAAUACAACAAUUACAAAUAGAUCCAUAACAGUAGUGAUUAUAUCAAAUAGAUCCAUAAUAUUAUAUCUAAUAUUAGUUUUGCUAAUUACUUCUUUACUCCCCCCUCAAGCUCUGGAAUAUAUAUUGAGUAUUCCAAGCUUGGCAGAGGCUGAAGUAAUUUCUUUCUCACCCAAUGGUUUGGUAAACAUAUCAGCUAAUUGGUAUUUUGUUCCAAUUUGUCUAAGGCUAAUUGUCCCUUGGGUGAUUAGAUCUCUUAUAAAGUGGCAAUCAAUUUCUACAUGUUUUGUCCUUUCAUGAAAGACAGGAUUAUUAGCUAGAUGAAUUGCCGAUUUAUUAUCACAAUAUAGUGUUGUUUGUGUUUGGUUUUUGAUUUUCAUUUCUUUUAGUAAUUGAUGCAACCAGAUGAUUUCACAGGCUGUAUGAGCUAUUGCUCUAUAUUCUGCCUCGCAUGAAGAUCUGGAUAUGACAUUUUGUUUCUUGGAUUUCCAAGAUACUAUUGAAUCUCCAAACAUGAGGCAAAACCCGGUUACUGAUUUUCUGGUGAUUUGGCAUGAAGCCCAAUCAGAAUCACAAAAACCAUUUAUAUUCAUCUUUUCUUUAUUUUUAUAUAACAUCCCUUGACCUGGAGCACUUUUCAGGUAUCUUAAUACCCUGAAUAAUGCUUUUAAAUGAACCUCUCUUGGUUCACUCAUAAAUUGGCUUAGCCAGUGUACUGCAAAACUGAGAUCAGGCCUGGUGAUGUUUAAGUAUAUGAGUUUCCCAACUAUUUUUCUAUAGAAUGUGGGAUCUUUAAUGGCUUCAGAAGUAUCAUUUUUCAGAUCUAUGUUCCUUUCCAUGGGUAUCUUAGAUUCUUUGGCUCCUGAGAGACCAGUUUCUUCAAGUAUGCCUAAAGCAUACUUUCUUUGUGAUAAGAGAAUACCCUCACUAGAGUAUGACACUUCUAUGCCUAGAAAGUAAUUCAGCUUUCCAAGAUCUUUCAAUUUGAAUUUGUUUUCUAAUUGAAUUUUUAGAAUGCUUAUUUCUAACUCAUUACUACCUGUGAUGAUUAUGUCAUCUACAUAGACUACUAGGUAGAGUAUAUUUCCAUUUUUCUCUCUUAUAAAGAGAGAGUAAUCUGAUUUUGCUUGUAUGAAUCCAAAAUCUUCUAGUGUAGUUUUGAGUUUUUCAAACCAGUUCCUAGAAGCUUGUUUAAGCCCAUACAAGGAUUUGUUGAGUUUACAGACCCUCUUGUCUCCUUCUUGGAGCAUUCCCUGAGGUGGUCUUAAAUAGACUUCCUCAUGCAAGUCUCCAUGAAGGAAGGCAUUGUUUACAUCAAUUUGGUAGAGGUUCCACCUUUUUUGUGCAGCAAUUGCAAUUAGUAUUCUUACUGUUGUCAUUUUUGCAACUGGUGCAAAAGUUUCAUAAAAAUCGAAGCCUUCCUUUUGAGAGAAGCCCUUGGCCACUAGCCUGGCUUUGUACCUCUCUAUUUCUUCAUCUGGCUUGUAUUUUAUUUUAUAUAUCCAUUUUGAGCCAACUGACUUCCUUCCUUUUGGGAGUUCAGUUAAAACCCAAGUUUUAUUUGAGAUGAGUGCCUCCAUCUCUUUUUUCAUUGCUUCGACCCAUUUUGGAUCACUUGAAGCUUGAUUGUAUGUAUUUGGUUCAUUGUGACUCGUAAUUUGUUUUAGAAACUCUUUAUGUUUCUUAUUUACUCUAUGAUAGGAUACAUAGUUACUCAUAGGGUACUUAAUUUUAUUUGGAUAAUUUUCAUCAUUUUCCAAAUAGAAGUCUUUAUAUUGACUUGGUUUUGUUAUGACUCUCCCUAGCCUUGUUUGCUUUUGUUUUGUGGGAAAGUCUGAUUUUUCUAAUUUAUUUUGAGUAUCUUGAUCUUGAUUACAAGAUCUCAAUGUAUUUUUAUUUUGAGUAUCUUGAUCUUGAUCACAAGAUCUCAAUGUAUUUCCUGUUCUGUAUUUUUGUUUUAUAAGGCUAUUUACUGUUUUGACUUUUUCUUCUUCUAAUGCAUUUUGAUUUUCUAAUGCAUUCCCUGUUUCAAUUCGUGUAUCUUUUUCAGAAUUUUUAUUCAAGAACAUAUUUCCUGUUUUAACUUGGGUGUUUUCUCCAAGUUCUUUGUUUAGUUCAAGAAGUGAAUCACUUUGCUCAUCCUGAUCACAACCCUGUAUCUGGGUAUUUUCCUCAAAUGUUAGCUGUUUGGGAUUAAGUAAUGAUUUAUUUUCUGUUUUGUUAAUUUUUCUAUAAUCAGGCUGGAUUUUUCCAGUUAUAUCUGAUUCAUGUUGAGUUCUUAAAAUGGUUUCAUGGCCAGCCUGGUUAUUUCCAGUCAUAUCUGAUCCAUUUUCCAUUUUAUUCUGAUUUUUAACACUAUUUUGGUGUUUUUGAGUAUCUUUUGAAUUUUUGUAAAUUAUUCUAAAUUCAGAAUCAUUGUUCUGAGUAUUUUCAUAAAAAACACUUUGUGAUGGAAAAAUAUCUAUUAUUUCAUUUUGUUGUGUUUGCUUUAUUUCAUGAAAAGGAAAAAUAUUUUCCUUGAAGACCACAUCUCUACUAACAUGAAAUUUUUGGUCUUCUAGGCCAAGUAUUAAGUAUCCUUUUAUAUUGGGAGGAUAUCCCAUGAAUAUUCCUUUGAAUGUUCUUGGUGAGAACUUAUGUUCUCUAUUAUGUGAGAUUGCAUAACAUAGACAUCCAAACGUUUUUAAAAUAUUGUAUUGGGGUUUUUUGUUAUGUAAGACUUCAUAAGGAGUCUUGUUUUCUAGGACCUUGGAUGGGAUCCUAUUUAUUAUGAAUGUUGCAGCCAAUAUACAUUCCCCCCAGUAUUUUAGGGGUAUAUUGGCUUGAAUUUGUAAUGACCUAGCUAUAUUAAGCAAACAUCUAUGUUUUCUCUCAACUCUUGCAUUUUGUUGAGGAUUAUAUGGACAAGUGAGUUGGUGAAUUAUUCCAUUAUCUUCUAAUAGAGUUCUGAAUUUUUCAGAUUUAAAUUCUCCCCCAUUGUCGCUUCUUAUGGUUUUUAUGUUUAUGCAAAAAAAAUUCUUAACUUUUGUUAUGAACUUUUUAAUGCAUUCAUAUGCCAUGGAUUUAUUCUUAAUUAAGUAGACCCAUGUUGUUCUACUUAAAUCCUCGACUAUUGUGAGGAAAUAUUCAUACCCAUCAUGACUAGUUACUGAAAAUUUACCCCAAAUAUCUAUGUGUAUUAGAUCAAACAAACAAUUACUUUUGGAUAUGCUUUUUGUAUAUCUAAGUUUGGUUUGUUUUGAAAGGGGACAAAUUUCACAAUCUUUGUCUAAAAACAACUUAUUUGAUGUAUUUUUAUUACAGAAACUAUUAUCAAGAGUUUUUACAUCAUUUUUCAAAAAACAAUCUAUUUCCUUCCUUUUGACUAGCAUGCCAAGCUUUUGAGAGGAUAUAUGCCCAAGCCUAUUGUGCCAUGUUCUAGAAUUCAGGGAUGUGUUUGCAAAAUCAGAAGUGGGUUUUGAGCUGUAUAAGUAGAGCCCAUCUUGGCAUCUACCCUUCCCAAUCACUUUCCCUGAUUUGCUUCCCUGAAAAAGGCAUUUUUCACUAUCAAAUAAAAUUUCCAGAUCACUGUUUGAAGUUAAUUUAUUAACUGAAAUUAAAUUAACUUUGAAUUGGGGAAUGUAGAGCACAUCUCUUAAUUUUAUGUUUUUGGAUAGAGUUAUUGUUCCCAUGGAUUUUACACUACAUACUUCACCACUAGGUAUUGUGACAAAGUGUUCUUGUUUCUCAAUUGGAAGCUCAUCAAAAAAUUGGAGAUUCCCAGUCAUAUGUUGGGAAGCUCCGGUAUCUAUAAUCCAUUCUUCAUUUAAAUUUAUUGCAUUGUAAGCAUGAGAAUUAUUUCUGAAAUUUAAAACAUUAAAAAAAUAUUUCAUACCAUUGGACUUGUUUACCAAGUCUUUUAGCAUGAUCAGUUCUUCAUUUGUCAAUGUUGGAGGAGUGUCAAUUGUGGCCUGAUUUGCACUUUCAUACUUUGGCUUUUUAUUUUUGUUUUCCUUCUUUCCAUUGUCUUUUUUCUUUUCUGGAAAGCCUAUUAGAUGGUAACACUCCUUCCUAGUAUGACCAUAGAACUUGCAAUUGUCGCAAUAUUUUGAAGUGUCUAAUUUCUUUCCACUUCUACUAUAUAAUCUUUCUUCUUUUUCAUUCACUUUCUUAGUAAAAAAUGCAGAAGAUUCUGAUUUGGUGUUGUUAUCCCUAAAAUCUGUUUUCUGCUUUUCUUCUUGAGUAAUCAGAUAAAAACUCUAUUCAUAUUUGGCAACUCAUCAUAUGAUAAAAUUUGACCUCUUAAAGCUUUGAAACCUUCAUUCAGUCCCAAAAGGAACUGGUGAAUUUUGUCCUUCUCCAAUUUCUCAUUGAAUUUUGGAGUGCAUUUGUCACAAAAAUCACAAUCGUCUAAUUCUACUUUUUGAUCCCAUAAUUAAAGUCUUAAACUUAUCAUGAUAAUCACUCACACUAUUAUUUCCUUGAUGUAGAUUAUUUAACUCAUACCUUAUUUGAUUGUAUUUUGGAGCGUUUUUCUGCUUGUACCUCUCUUGCAAAUCUGACCAAGCUUGAUAGGCUGUUUCAGUGUGCAUAAGGGUGGAAGCAAUUUGCGGAGAUGACCCAUUUAUUAUCCAGGACAGCACCAAUCCAUUUACAGUCUCCCAUGCCUCAAAAUCUUUGUCAUCAUUCCUCUCUGGUUUCUUCACCUUUCCAUUGAUGAAAGCUAUUUUCCUCCUAGAUAGAAGAGAUAAUCUCAUGGCAUUAGCCCAAGUAUUAUAAUUGGACUCACCUGUUAAUUUGUCCGAAACCAUCAGGGCUCCGGGAUGAUCGCCUGAAUUCAGAAAGUAAAUUGAAUCUCUGUCAUUCAGUGCUGAGGUGUGAUGAAAUCUUCUUGUUCUUUUGGAGUGAUGAGUGUGAUGCUUUUUGUGGUGGGGAGAUUUUUUUAUGUGAUGCUUUGGAGAUGAUAACGGACUCUGGCGUGAUGGAGAGUGAAGGAGAUGCUUUGCCGCCGACGGAAUUGUUCCAGUAGAAUCGGCGGAGGUAGAGUCAGAUUCUGUUCUGUUCUCGCUGUGGGAGGCAGACUUGUUAAAUGCGGAAGCGUGGCUGGUCUUUCCAGUCGAUACCAUCUUAAAUGGUGAGGAAGUCUGUCCGGUCGAGAGCGCCGGUGUGGAGAGCGCCGGAGAGCAGGCCGGUCGCCGGCAAUCGUCGCUUGGAGACGUUGAGAAAAAGGGGGAAAAGUUUUAGAAGAAACCUAAAACUAAAAUAACCCGGUAGUUGAAUAAACCGUGUUUAGUUGAAAAGAAAUCAUUAAUUCAUUGUAAAUCAAUGUUUAGUAUUUAAAACUAGAUUUACAACAAAUUAUUUUAACUAACUACAACUAACUCAGUUUUCU